rnacentral:rRNA from 1 species
UAUAAAUAGAAUACAGUGAAACUGCGAAUGGCUCAUUAAAACAGUUAUAGUUUAUUUGAUAAUUGAAGUCUACAUGGAUAACCGUGGUAAUUCUAGGGCUAAUACAUGCAUUAAGACCCGACUCACGAAGGGUUGUAUUUAUUAGAUAUUAAGCCAAAAUUCCGCAAGGUCUAUUGAGGUGAAUCAUAAUAACUGAUCGGAUCCCCAAUUGGGGAUAAAUCAUUCAAGUUUCUGCCCUAUCAGCUUUCGAUGGUAGUGUAUUGGACUACCAUGGCAGUAACGGGUAACGGAGAAUUAGGGUUCGGUUCCGGAGAGGGAGCCUGAGAAACGGCUACCACAUCUAAGGAAGGCAGCAGGCGCGUAAAUUACCCAAUGCAGACUCUGCGAGGUAGUGACAAUACAUAACAACCUGGGGCCUCACGGCUUACGGGAUUGCAAUGAGAACAAUCUAAAAACCUUAACGAGGAACAAGUGGAGGGCAAGUCUGGUGCCAGCAGCCGCGGUAAUUCCAGCUCCACUAGCGUAUAUUAAAGUUGUUGCAGUUAAAAAGCUCGUAGUUGAACUUCUGAUUAUUGAUAGUUUAGGUACUUGUAUCUGACUAUUGGUAGUCAUCCGUCUGCAAACUUUUACAGCCUUCACUGGUUUGUUUAAGGGAGCAGGCAUUUUACUUUGAAAAAAUUAGAGUGUUUAAGGCAGGCGUUAGCCUGAAUACAUUAGCAUGGAAUAAUGGAAUAGGAUUCUUGUCCAUUUGAUUGGUUAUUGGACUUGAAUAAUGAUUAAUAGGGACAGUUGGGGGGCAUUAGUAUUUAAUUGUCAGAGGUGAAAUUCUUGGAUUU